rnacentral:rRNA from 1 species
GCGUAUGGUACGCGGAGGGACAUUACCGAGUUUACAACUCCCAAACCCCUGUGAACAUACCUUAUGUUGCCUCGGCGGAUCAGCCCGCGCCCCGUAAAAAAGGGACGGCCCGCCGCAGGAACCCUAAACUCUGUUUUUAGUGGAACUUCUGAGUAUAAAAAACAAAUAAAUCAAAACUUUCAACAACGGAUCUCUUGGUUCUGGCAUCGAUGAAGAACGCAGCAAAAUGCGAUAAGUAAUGUGAAUUGCAGAAUUCAGUGAAUCAUCGAAUCUUUGAACGCACAUUGCGCCCGCCAGUAUUCUGGCGGGCAUGCCUGUUCGAGCGUCAUUUCAACCCUCAAGCCCAGCUUGGUGUUGGGAGCUGCAGUCCUGCUGCACUCCCCAAAUACAUUGGCGGUCACGUCGAGCUUCCAUAGCGUAGUAAUUUACACAUCGUUACUGGUAAUCGUCGCGGCCACGCCGUUAAACCCCAACUUCUGAAUGUUGACCUCGGAUCAGGUAGGAAUACCCGCUGAACUUAAGCAUAUCAA